GAUGAACGCUAGCUACAGGCUUAACACAUGCAAGUCGAGGGGAAACGACAUUGGAAGCUUGCUUCCUUUGGGCGUCGACCGGCGCACGGGUGAGUAACGCGUAUCCAACCUUCCCGCAAGUAAGGGAUAACCCGUAGAAAUGCGGCCUAAUACCUUAUGUUUUCCUUAGAGGGCAUCUGAUGAGGAACAAAGAUCCGUCGCUUGCGGAUGGGGAUGCGUCUGAUUAGUUAGUCGGCGGGGUAACGGCCCACCAAGGCGACGAUCAGUAGGGGUUCUGAGAGGAAGGUCCCCCACAUUGGAACUGAGACACGGUCCAAACUCCUACGGGAGGCAGCAGUGAGGAAUAUUGGUCAAUGGGCGAAAGCCUGAACCAGCCAAGUAGCGUGAGGGAAGACUGCCCUACGGGUUGUAAACCUCUUUUGUUGGGAAUAAAGUGCGGGACGCGUCCCGCAUUGC
rnacentral:rRNA from 1 species